AAACUUUCAACAACGGAUCUCUAGGCUCUUGCAUCGAUGAAGAACGCAGUGAAAUGCGAUACGUAAUGUGAAUUGCAGAAUCUCGUGAAUCAUUGAAUCUUUGAACGCACAUUGCGCCCUAUGGUAUUCCGUAGGGCAUGCCUGUCUGAGCGUCAGCU
rnacentral:rRNA from 1 species